rnacentral:misc_RNA from 1 species
CAUUAAUGUAAUAAAGACAUAAUAUGUAUAUAGUACAUUAAAUUAUAUGCCCCAUGCAUAUAAGCAAGUACAUGACUUCUAUAGCAGUACAUAAUACAUAUAAUUAUUGACUGUACAUAGUACAUUAUGUCAAAUUCAUUCUUGAUAGUAUAUCUAUUAUAUAUUCCUUACCAUUAGAUCACGAGCUUAAUUACCAUGCCGCGUGAAACCAGCAACCCGCUAGGCAGGGAUCCCUCUUCUCGCUCCGGGCCCAUAAACCGUGGGGGUCGCUAUCCAAUGAACUUUACCAGGCAUCUGGUUCUUUCUUCAGGGCCAUCUCAUCUAAAACGGUCCAUUCUUUCCUCUUAAAUAAGACAUCUCGAUGGACUAAUGGCUAAUC